GAUGAACGCUGGCGGCGUGCCUAAUACAUGCAAGUCGAGCGAACGGACGAGAAGCUUGCUUCUCUGAUGUUAGCGGCGGACGGGUGAGUAACACGUGGAUAACCUACCUAUAAGACUGGGAUAACUUCGGGAAACCGGAGCUAAUACCGGAUAAUAUUUUGAACCGCAUGGUUCAAAAGUGAAAGACGGUCUUUCUGUCACUUAUAGAUGGAUCCGCGCUGCAUUAGCUAGUUGGUAAGGUAACGGCUUACCAAGGCAACGAUGCAUAGCCGACCUGAGAGGGUGAUCGGCCACGCUGGAACUGAGACACGGUCCAGACUCCUACGGGAGGCAGCAGUAGGGAAUCUUCCGCAAUGGGCGAAAGCCUGACGGAGCAACGCCGCGUGAGUGAUGAAGGUCUUCGGAUCGUAAAACUCUGUUAUUAGGGAAGAACAUAUGUGUAAGUAACUGUGCACAUCUUGACGGUACCUAAUCAGAAAGCCACGGCUAACUACGUG
rnacentral:rRNA from 1 species